UUAUUUAUUUUAAUAAAUUCAUAGUUGCGAGAAUUAUAUAAGUGAAGAGAUAUGCUAAUUAAAUAUGUAAGUUAAGGAAUGUAUUUAAAUUUUAAAUUAAAACUAGUGAAGAGGCUCGCGUUUUGCAGCGAAUAAAAACUAUAGAAAUAAUUAAUAAUAAAAGAAUAUCAAAUACUUUUUGUGUAUAUCAUUUGCCACAUCUGCCAAAGGUUCUUCGUUGUUGGCGGUGGGGAUGGAACCGGUGAUGCCUUCUCUGGCGACAAUGAUAGUGAUGAUGACGACGAUCCCUUUGGCUGCAGCGGAGAGGGAAGGUGCGCGCACACAUUAGUGAGGGAGAGGGAGGAAGGGAAGGAGGCAAUAAUUUAAGGAAACGAUGAGAGAUGGAGAGGUGAGGAUUGUAGAUGACGACAAAUCGUUUAGAUGGAUUAAUUGAAAGUUUGAUGAAGUAAAGGGAAAGGUCGUGAUGAAUUAAUAAGAAAUAGAAAUGUGAGGAUCAUAAAUGACAGUGAAAGGUGGAAGAAGGGGAAAGGGUCAUGAUGAAUUAAUUAAAAAUAGAAAUGUGAGAAUUAUAGAUGGCUAGGAGAAGGUUAUAAUGAAUUAAUUAGAAAUAGAAAUAUAAGGAUUAUAAAUGGUGGUGGGAGGUGGAGGAAAGGGGAAGGGGAAGAGUUACGAUGAAUUAAUUAGAAAUAAAAAAGUGAGAAUCAUAGGAAUGUUUAAGGGAAAUUAAAUACAUUAAUUGAAGUUUUAAUAGUAGAAUCAUUUAUAUGUAUCAAUUAGAUAUAUUAAUUAAAAACUUGAUAGAGGGAAGGGUAAAGAUCAAUACGGUUGAGCGUUAAGAAAAACUUGACACUUAGACAAAGAAAUAUUGAAAAUUCAUAUAAAUAAAUUAAUAAUAAUUAAUUAAUUGAUAAUUAAUAAUAAUAAUAAUAAUAAUAAUAGAUUAAUAGAUAGAUUAAUAGAUAAUAGAUAUUAUUAUUGCCUGAUUUAUAAAUAAAUUUAAAAAUUAAAUAGUAAAAUUAAUUUUUUUAAAAAAAAU
rnacentral:lncRNA from 1 species